rnacentral:rRNA from 1 species
GACGAACGCUGGCGGCGUGCUUAACACAUGCAAGUCGAACGGAAAGGCCCUGCUUUUGUGGGGUGCUCGAGUGGCGAACGGGUGAGUAACACGUGAGUAACCUGCCCUUGACUUUGGGAUAACUUCAGGAAACUGGGGCUAAUACCGGAUAGUAGCUCCUGCUGCAUGGUGGGGGUUGGAAAGUUUCGGCGGUUGGGGAUGGACUCGCGGCUUAUCAUCUUGUUGGUGGGGUAGUGGCUUACCAAGGCUUUGACGGGUAGCCGGCCUGAGAGGGUGACCGGCCACAUUGGGACUGAGAUACGGCCCAGACUCCUACGGGAGGCAGCAGUGGGGAAUAUUGCACAAUGGGCGGAAGCCUGAUGCAGCAACGCCGCGUGCGGGAUGACGGCCUUCGGGUUGUAAACCGCUUUCGCCUGUGACGAAGCGUGAGUGACGGUAAUGGGUAAAGAAGCACCGGCUAACUACGUG